AACACAAGCUUUCUGCUCAUGGAUGCUGCCGAAGAAGCAUCGUUAAAAUCUCUCCUCUCCCUGCAAUCAUGUCUAAGUUAGAGUCUCCUAAAGAGCCUGAACAGCUGAGGAAGCUCUUCGUUGGAGGGUUGAGCUUUGAAACAACUGAUGAGAGCCUGAGGAGCCAUUUUGAGCAAUGGGGAACGCUCACGGACUGUGUGGUAAUGAGUGAUCCAAACACCAAGUGCUCCAGGGGCUUUGGGUUUGUCACAUAUGCCACUGUGGAGGAGGUGGAUGCAGCCGUGAACGCAAGGCCACAUGAGGUGGAUGGAAGAGUUGUGGAACCAAAGAGAGCUGUCUCAAAGACCAGGUGCCCACUUAACUGUGAAAAAAAAAAUUUAUUGGUGGCAUUAAAGAAGACACUGAAGAACAUCACCUAAGACUAUUUUGAACAGUAUGGAAAAGUCGAAGUGAUUGAAAUCAUUACUGACAGAGGCAGUGGCAAGAAAAGGGGCUUUGCCUUUGUAACCUUUGACGACCAUGACUCCAUGGAUAAGACUCUCAUUAAGAAAUACCAUACUGUGAGUGGCCACUACUGUGAAGUUGGGAAAGCCUUGUCAAAGCAAGAGCUGGCUGGUGCUUCAUCCAGCCAAAGAGGUUGAAGUGGUUCUGGAAACUUUGGUGGUGGCCGUGGUGGUGGUUUUGGUGGGAAUGACCACUGGUCAUGGAGGGAACUUCAGUGGUUGUGGUGGCCUUGGUGGCAGCAGGGAUGGCUAUAAUGGAUUUGGUAAUGAUGGAAGCAGUGUUGGAGGUGGUAGAAGCUACAAAGAUUUUGGCAAUUACAACAAUCAGUCUUCAAGUUUUGGACCCGUGAAGGGAGGAAACUUUGGAGGCAGAAGCUCUGGCCCCUGUGUUGGUGGAGGCCAAUACUUUGCCAAGCCACUAAACCAAGGUGGCUAUGGUUGUUCCAGUAGCAGCAGUAGCUAUGGCAGUGGCAGAUUUUAAUUAGGAAACAAAGCUUAGCAGGAGAGGAGAGCC